rnacentral:lncRNA from 1 species
GAGCGCGUCCCCGCCACAGCCCGCGGGGAGAUCCCGGCCAUGGCCAUGCCAAGCUGGGCUGCUGCAGCCCCACCACCCGCCCCUCAGGGGACAGUGGGGAAACGGAGGCCAGGAGCGCCAGGGACUGGCUGGGCCCUUGAGCUGGGCAGAGGCCCCAGGACAAGAAAUAGAGCCUCCUCCCGUUUGCAUCGCGGCGUCUGUGUUUCCGUUCACUGGCUUAUUCAUCCACUCAUUCACUCAUGGCCUCACUCACUCACUCAUUCAUCCAGUCAUUCAUUCAUUCAGCCAGUGGCCUCUAUUCCCUGCUUGUGUGCCCAGCACUGUAACUUCACCAGGGAGCAAAACCCAAUAUGU